rnacentral:misc_RNA from 1 species
UGUUUCCUCAAAAAGAAUAGCACCCGAUAUGUACUCGCCCAAGCCAGGUGUAGUCAGCAAAAGCUGUCUGUAAGCUUGUCUGUUGGUUUCAAUAUUGUCCAAGCCAAUGGAUGCUAACCUCUUCCCACAUGUUGCAUUAGAUUCAUCAAUGGCAAGAAUACCACGUCCGGGUGAUGCAACUGAUUUCGCGGUCUGAACAAGCUCAUCGGAGUAAGCCCCAGCACGGAUCGGAACAGAAAGACGUCGACUGGAAGACGAUCCGCGCCUCUGAGAGAAAGAUUGGUGGGCAAUCCACUGCGAAGAGGAGGCGUUCAACUUAGCGAAGCUCAGGCAGGCCAUGGCUUCGACAAAGGAGAGAAGAAUUG